rnacentral:rRNA from 1 species
AGGCUCAGAACGAACGCUGGCGGCAGGCUUAACACAUGCAAGUCGAACGCCCCGCAAGGGGAGUGGCAGACGGGUGAGUAACGCGUGGGAACAUACCCUUUCCUGCGGAAUAGCUCUGGGAAACUGGAAUUAAUACCGCAUACGCCCUACGGGGGAAAGAUUUAUCGGGGAAGGAUUGGCCCGCGUUGGAUUAGCUAGUUGGUGGGGUAAAGGCCUACCAAGGCGACGAUCCAUAGCUGGUCUGAGAGGAUGAUCAGCCACAUUGGGACUGAGACACGGCCCAAACUCCUACGGGAGGCAGCAGUGGGGAAUAUUGGACAAUGGGCGCAAGCCUGAUCCAGCCAUGCCGCGUGAGUGAUGAAGGCCUUAGGGUUGUAAAGCUCUUUCACCGGAGAAGAUAAUGACGGUAUCCGGAGAAGAAGCCCCGGCUAACUUCGUGCCAGCAGCCGCGGUAAUACGAAGGGGGCUAGCGUUGUUCGGAAUUACUGGGCGUAAAGCGCACGUAGGCGGAUAUUUAAGUCAGGGGUGAAAUCCCAGAGCUCAACUCUGGAACUGCCUUUGAUACUGGGUAUCUUGAGUAUGGAAGAGGUAAGUGGAAUUCCGAGUGUAGAGGUGAAAUUCGUAGAUAUUCGGAGGAACACCAGUGGCGAAGGCGGCUUACUGG